rnacentral:rRNA from 1 species
AGCGAACGCUGGCGGCAGGCCUAACACAUGCAAGUCGAACGAACUCUUCGGAGUUAGUGGCGGACGGGUGAGUAACACGUGGGAACGUGCCUUUUGGUUCGGAAUAACUCAGGGAAACUUGUGCUAAUACCGAAUGUGCCCUUCGGGGGAAAGAUUUAUCGCCAUUAGAGCGGCCCGCGUCUGAUUAGCUAGUUGGUGAGGUAACGGCUCACCAAGGCGACGAUCAGUAGCUGGUCUGAGAGGAUGACCAGCCACACUGGGACUGAGACACGGCCCAGACUCCUAUGGGAGGCAGCAGUGGGGAAUCUUGCGCAAUGGGUGAAAGCCUGACGCAGCCAUGCCGCGUGAAUGAUGAAGGUCUUAGGAUUGUAAAAUUCUUUCACCGGGGACGAUAAUGACGGUACCCGGAGAAGAAGCCCCGGCUAACUUCGUG